rnacentral:rRNA from 1 species
UACGUAGGAGGCGAGCGUUGUCCGGAAUUACUGGGCGUAAAGCGCGCGUAGGUGGCGCUGUACGAGCCGGUGUGAAAGCCCCCGGCUCAACUGGGGAGGGUCAUCGCUAACGGCAGUGCUGAUUGAGUGCAGGAGAGGGAUGUGGAACUCCGGGAGUAGCGGUGAAAUGCGCAGAUAUCAGGAGGAACACCGGUGGCGAAGGCGGUUCUCUGGGCAUGUCCUGACGCUGGAGGAGCGGAAAGUGUGGGGAGCGAACAGG